rnacentral:rRNA from 1 species
CCUACGGGAGGCAGCAGUGAGGAAUAUUGGUCAAUGGGCGUGAGCCUGAACCAGCCAAGUCGCGUGAGGGAAGACGGUCCUAUGGAUUGUAAACCUCUUUUGUCGGGGAGCAAAAGACGCCACGCGUGGCGUUCCGAGAGUACCCGAAGAAAAAGCAUCGGCUAACUCCGUGCCAGCAGCCGCGGUAAUACGGAGGAUGCGAGCGUUAUCCGGAUUUAUUGGGUUUAAAGGGUGCGCAGGCGGAAGAUCAAGUCAGCGGUAAAAGUGAGAGGCUCAACCUCUUCGAGCCGUUGAAACUGGUUUUCUUGAGUGAGCGAGAAGUAUGCGGAAUGCGUGGUAUAGCGGUGAAAUGCAUAGAUAUCACGCAGAACUCCGAUUGCGAAGGCAGCAUACCGGCGCUCAACUGACGCUCAUGCACGAAAGUGUGGGUAUCGAACAGGAUUAGAUACCCUAGUAGUC